rnacentral:rRNA from 1 species
GGCGAACGCUGGCGGCGUGCUUAACACAUGCAAGUCGAACGAAGAGCGAUGGAAGCUUGCUUCUAUCAAUCUUAGUGGCGAACGGGUGAGUAACGCGUAAUCAACCUGCCCUUCAGAGGGGGACAACAGUUGGAAACGACUGCUAAUACCGCAUACGAUCUAACCUCGGCAUCGAGGAAAGAUGAAAGGUGGCCUCUAUGUAUAAGCUAUCACUGAAGGAGGGGAUUGCGUCUGAUUAGCUAGUUGGAGGGGUAACGGCCCACCAAGGCGAUGAUCAGUAGCCGGUCUGAGAGGAUGAACGGCCACAUUGGGACUGAGACACGGCCCAGACUCCUACGGGAGGCAGCAGUGGGGAAUCUUCCGCAAUGGACGAAAGUCUGACGGAGCAACGCCGCGUGAGUGAUGACGGCCUUCGGGUUGUAAAGCUCUGUUAAUCGGGACGAAAGGCCUUCUUGCGAAUAGUGAGAAGGAUUGACGGUACCGGAAUAGAAAGCCACGGCUAACUACGUG